rnacentral:lncRNA from 1 species
AUAGCUAGCCACCAAUACACUCUCUUCAGAUCUUGAUACAUUUUGGUGGCUCCAGGGUGAACAUUGUAUCUGGCAUUAUGAGCUUCCCUCAUAAUGUCUCCCUUCAGUCCCACGUCAUCUGGUACACACAAUCUAUUCCCAUAGCGGAGGAUCCCCUUACUGUCAAAUCUGAACUCUUCGUUCUUGCCUGACUGAACAGUCC